AUGAUACUAUUUUGUCAGCUUGAUUUAGAAGUCAUGUUCCAGCGCGCCAAUAUAUUCAUUGUUUCAUAAAUUGUGCACAAAAAAACUAUUAUAAUUAUGUCAGACACCCAGCUUUUCACAUCAAAUGACCUUUCUCAUAACGCCAGCAGACCCGAAUGAAUACACUGUAUUUAUUCCAAACAGAUGCCUGGAGAAUUGCGAUUUUUCGCUAAGGGGGGAAUGACAGCAGCACGUCCUGACGUCGACUUGCUACAGGAACUAAAGACAUUCCAGCCGCACGUUGUCGUGGUGGUUCUGGGUGGAAACGACAUAUGCACUAGUUCGUCGCCUGCGGACAUUGUGUCGUCUCUACUAAGGCUACAGACGCAGCUCCACGAAGCAGGAACCACACACGUUCAUUUCUGCAACAUUUGUGAGCGGGGUUAUUUUCCAAAGGACCGUGCAAUGACAAAGAAAUGUUUUAAUGCACAGAGAAACAAAAUCAAUGACUGUCUAAACAAAAACGCGAGUGUAAUAGAACUGAAAAAGAUUAGAUUUCCAGCAGAUUACCACACCGACAUGGUGCACAUGAAUGAAGUUGGCAAUAAUAAACUCUUUAGGCACAUCAGAGGCUUUUUAUUUGGACUUUAAAUAGUUCACUGUAUUGUCAUUUUUGUUUGUUUUGUAUUUUGGUAUUACGUAUGAUUAUUGCUUGUUUUGAUUUUGAAAUAAACGCUUUCUGGCAAAUAAG